GCUAUGCCAUCAUUUUGUUGGAGACUGCCACACGAAGAGACCUGGUCUUGAAAGAAGAGCCUCGUUCUGUGGAGCAUCCUUGUGUCUCCCUCUUGAGGCGCUGAUUAGAGGGAAGACUGAGAAUCUCUGUCCUUGCAGAGUAUGCAGAGUGCCUGUGACAUGGUAGCUGCUCUGUAAAUAUUGAUUGGAAGCCUGACUACAUUUUGUAUUCUUCA